CCUACGGGGGGCAGCAGUGGGGAAUAUUGCGCAAUGGGCGAAAGCCUGACGCAGCGACGCCGCGUGAGGGAUGAAGGUCUUCGGAUCGUAACCCUCUGUCAGCAGGGAAGAACGGUCACUGUGCUAAUCAGCAGUGAAUUGACGGUAACUGCAAAGGAAGCACCGGCUAACUCCGGGCCAGCAGCCGCGGUAAUACGGAGGGGGCGAGCGGUAAUCGGAAUUACUGGGCGUAAAGCGCUCGUAGGCGGUAUGUCAAGUCAAGUGUGAAAUCCCCGCGCUCAACGUGGGAACUGCCGUUGAAACUGGCAAGCUGGAGUGUGUGAGAGGUAAGUGGAAGUCCAAGUGUAGGAGUGAAAUCCGUAGAUAUCUGGAGGAACAUCAGUGGCGAAGGCGACUAUCUGGCACAUAACUGACGCUGAGGAGCGAAAGCGUGGGUAGCAAACAGGAUUAGAUACCCCUGUAGUC
rnacentral:rRNA from 1 species